rnacentral:tRNA from 1 species
GGGGAUUUAGCUCAGCGGCAUAAGCACCUGCCUUGUAAGCAGGCAGUUGUGAGCUCGAAGCAGGCAGUUGUGAGCUCGAUCCCCG